CUUGAGCUCAUCGAGCCAGCGACCGACGCUCUCGAAGGUGGUGCGGCGGGCGAUGUCGUAGACGACGAGGGCUCCGACGGCGCCGCGGUAGUAGGCGGAGGUGACGGCUCGGAAACGCUCCUGUCCCGCCGUGUCCCAAAUCUGAGCCUUCACCUCCUUGCCUUCGAUCUCCAUGCUCUGAGUCUGGAACUCGACCCCGAUCGUCGCCUUCGAGUGGGCAUUGAACUCGUUUCGCGCGUACCGUGAGAGGAGGUUCGAUUUCCCCACCGCAGAGUCGCCGAUGAUCACUAUCUUGAAGAGGUACUCUUCUCCUCCUUCAUCGUCCGACGACAUCGCUCGUCUCUCUCUCUC